rnacentral:misc_RNA from 1 species
UGAACUAGAAGGUUCUUCAUUUAUAUUAGAUGUAUGUUCAUGGGCAACUGUAUUUGAAGGAAUAGAAAUCGGCAAUUCACUGACCAUUCCUUUGUUUGGGGAAAUGUCAGAUGCAACAUGAGAUUCAGAUUUAGCUGGAAAAUCAACUGAAAUAUGCUGUGUCAUCUUGCAUGCUUCAUCUUCUAUUCCUUCAUUGUUAACAUUGGAGGAAAAUUGCUCCAAUUCAUGCUUCGUUUGGCAUUCAAGGUCAUUUUCAGAUUCUGAUUCUAUGGUGUUAAGGGCAUCUUCGUAAUUGUCUGGUUCACUUUCGACUUCAUCAAUCUCAAUUCUAUCAUUGCUUGAUUUCUGUGUAUCUUUACUGUCAAAAACCACGCCCCUUUCAUCAGGAUCUCUAAGGUCAGCAAUUUCCUCAUGCUGAAAGCCUAGAUCAUAAUCUGUGGUGAACAUCUCUGGAGAUUCAUUUCCAUCACAAUUUAGACCCUUAGUCUCCACUAUUUCUGCUUUUUCAUCCCACGUAUCACAAGAUGAACCAGGCACAAUUGGCUCAGGUGAUGAACUCUGAGGGAAAUUCUUAGUUUCAAUGCUGCAUUGUCCAUCAGGGAAAACUGAAUCAGGGAUAUCAUUAUGAUGCA